rnacentral:rRNA from 1 species
UACGUAGGUGACAAGCGUUGUCCGGAUUUACUGGGCGUAAAGAGCGCGCAGGCGGUCGAUCAAGUCGAGUGUGAAAGCCCCCGGCUCAACUGGGGAGGGUCAUUCGAUACUGAUCGACUCGAAGGCAGGAGAGGGUAGUGGAAUUCCCGGUGUAGUGGUGAAAUGCGUUGAGAUCGGAAGGAACGCCCGUGGCGAAAGCGAGGUCCUGGACGCCUACUGACGCUGAGACGCGAAAGCCAGGGGAGCGAACGGG